rnacentral:rRNA from 1 species
AUCGAACGCUGGCGGCAGGCCUAAUACAUGCAAGUCGAACGAGGGGCGCACGGGUGUGUAACGUCUGGGAACUAGCCUGAUGGAGGGGGAUAACUACUGGAAACGGUAGCUAAUCCCCCAUACCAUCAGAUGUUCCCAGAUGGGAUUAGCUAGUUGGUGGGGGAACGGCUCACCAAGGCGACGAUCCCUAGCUGGUCUGAGAGGGUGACCGGCCACAUGGGGACUGAGACACGGUCCAAACUCCUACGGGAGGCAGCAGUGGGGAAUAUUGCACAAUGGGCGCAAGCCUGAUGCAGCCAUGCCGCAUGUGUGAAGAAGGCCUUCGGGUUGUAAAGUUCUGUCGGCGGGGAGGCGUUACCCGCAGAGGAAGCAACGGCUAACUCCGUGCCAGCAGCCGCGGUAAUAC